rnacentral:lncRNA from 1 species
CUCCCUCCUACCAGAUUUGUAGAGCACUUCAAAUUACGACUGCUUCUCCACACAAGCCUGAAAGGCUAAUAAUAGUCAAUUAUGCCAUUCUGGAAGAAUGAAGACUAUUCCAGCCAAUAGUAGGAUGACUCGGGCCCCACAGAGACCGCGGCCGCUGCGCUGGCAGGUGGCACACGGCAGGUGCUCCAGGGCCCAGGUCGCUGCAAGGGUCACACCUGCCGUUCAGCAGAUGCAGAAACACGCUGCCUCCCCAGCGCCACUGUACCCCUGCUGCCACCAGCGGUCCUUUUCCCUUGGGAUCCCUGGAGUGUGCGCCCCAAGGUCUCCUGUGGGCCCCCCCCCCGACAUUUCCUCUAUCCCUCCCGGCGCUAGAGAUGCUUCAGGUGUGGCCUGCAGGUAGGUCCGGGAGGGUUACAGCCCCCCAGCUCCCGGCCUUGCACACGCGCACCCACGGAGCGGAGCUGCAGUUGCCACCAGCAAGGGCGAGGCAAAGUGUGCAAAUCUAAAAGGGAAAAGCAAGAGAUCGGGGAAGCAGAUAACCCAUUUCCUCUGCGCCCUGCUCUGUACCGCAGGGGUGCCCGCGGCUGGGGGCCGGGGUGCAAGGACGCCCAAGGAGGCGGAGGGAAGAGGAGACGGUGGGGAAUGAACACGGGCCUUCACAGAGGGCGGCGGGGCAAAUCCUCAGGCCGGGCCCAGGUGCCAUUCCAACGCAGAGGUGCCCCCCGACACUCCUGCCUCCCCUCGGCUCAGCACCUGUCGCCCCCCACCCCGCCCCACUGGUCCUCUUCAGGACCCCUUCCCUUAGACUCCUUUCAUCCUCUGUUCAGCAACUACUCCUCUACUCUCAUUUCAUCACGAUGGAUCCCUUAGAGACCCGGAGCCAGGUGGCAUUUUGGAGCCCCCCCAUUUCACAUUUGAAAACAGGAGACGUCCCGCUUCUCGUCAACAACCCUACCUCUGGGAUGUAGCGGAGAGGAACCUCUGUCCCCUGACACCCCGCCCCAGCUCCACCAGAUUCAGGCCCGGUGCCCCUGACCGGGUCACCGCUGCUCCUACCAGCUUGUUGGUGGCCGACGAUGGUUUAGUGCAGGUGUCACACACCAACCCCGGACUCUGUCCCCUUUCCAGGACUCUGUGACUCUUACCAACAAAUCAGCCAUUGGUACUGAGCCCUUUGCGGCCCGUGCUCGCUGUUUGCUCCACCGUCAUCCACUCAAAUGCUUGACGUGCCACCUCCACCGCCCUGCCCUCUCACCAAUCAACCCGCCUCAACGCCCAUACAGCGCUCCUUCCUUCUGAACUCAUGGCACCUCCCGUCUGAAAUUUAUUUUGGAGGCUUUACUUUCUUGAUUAAGCCCUUGAGCUGCUAUUUGACUCCCUUGUAUCUUUGGUUCUCACCUAGAAAAUCAUCUUUAUUGAGGUGAGGGAGGAGGGACAACCCCAAGCAGGCUCCACAUCCAGCGUGGAGCUGAUGCAAGACUCGAUCUCACGACCCUGAGAUCGUGACCUGAGCUGAAAUCAAGGGUCUGACACUUAAGCGACGGAGCCACCCAGGCACUCCUGGAAAACGAUCACCUUGAAAGUAGAAACCACGUGUUAUUUAUUUCUACAUAUUUACCCGUCAGCUAGGAUUAUACUGCACACGGGAUAGAAAUUUAAGAAAUAUUUGCACAAUAAGCAGACUCGGCUAACAGAACGGAUGCUUUGAUGAAAGAAGGUUGCAAUGAAAAAUAACUAUUUCUUAGCAUGUAGGCUUUAAAUAUUUUGUAAAUCUUGCCAUACAGCUAGAUUGGAUCAUACCAAGAAGAAAAGUGGGGCCAGGCAAAGCUGUGAAGAUUCUUUAGCCCUGACUUGUGUUUGUGGAUUGGUGGGAGAGGGAAGGAAAAGA